ensembl:misc_RNA Metazoa_SRP Metazoan signal recognition particle RNA
GCUGGGCGUGGUGGUGCUUGCCUGUAAUCCCAGCUACUCUGGAGGCUGAGGUGGGAGGAUCGCUUGAGCCUGGGAAGUCAAGACUGCAGUGAGCCGAGAUCAUGCCACUGCACUCAGCCUGGGCAAUAGAGUGAGACCCUGCCUUAA